CUGGCGCGGCGCGGCUGGGGAGGGAGGGAGCGGCGGGUGCUGCCACGUCCUCUGCGCCGCGCGGCGAGGGAAGGCAGCCCGCCCGCCUGCAGCCCCGCGUGCGGCGGCGCCCGGCUCCGGGAAGUUGCAGGCGGCCGCGGAGCUCGGACCCUUCCCCUCGCCCAGCCGCCGCCCGCCCCUUCCCGCGGGGGAGCACAACUCCGGUCUAUUACAGGUGCUUGUGGACUUCCUGAGGUGAGAGGACCUUAGAGAAAGAGUCUGAAUAAAUAUGGAGUGAGUCAGUUCUGGCCCGUUCAGCACGGCCUUCCAGAGUGGGAGAAUCCAGAGGCAAGAUCUUUCUACUCUGUGUCCAAACUGAACAAAACACAAACACCAACAGCAGAAGUAGGAGAAAGAAGUGACACUGGAGGAUCAAAUCUUGCCCAGGCUAGGGAAGCUAAGAAGCCCAGACAGCAUCUGAGAGCUAGUUUCUUGCACGGCCAACUCUUUGAAGCCAACGGAAUUUUUCAACCCCAUCUUCUAGAAGACCCUGGCCUGUCUUCUGCAGCUCAACUCUUUGCACCCCGUUUUGGUGAACACAGAAUCCCAGGAAGAGAAUGAG